rnacentral:rRNA from 1 species
AGCGAACGCUGGCGGCAGGCUUAACACAUGCAAGUCGAGCGCCCCGCAAGGGGAGCGGCAGACGGGUGAGUAACACGUGGGAACGUGCCUUUUGGUUCGGAACAACCCAGGGAAACUUGGGCUAAGACCGGAUAAGCCCUUACGGGGCAAGAUUUAUCGCCAAAAGAUCGUCCCGCGUCUGAUUAGCGAGUUGGUGGGGUAAUGGCCCACCAAGGCUACGAUCAGUAGCUGGUCUGAGAGGAUGAUCGGCCACAUUGGGACUGAGACACGGCCCAAACUCCUACGGGAGGCAGCAGUGGGGAAUAUUGGACAAUGGGGGCAACCCUGAUCCAGCCAUGCCGCGUGAGUGAUGAAGGCCUUAGGGUUGUAAAGCUCUUUUAGCAGGGAAGAUAAUGACGGUACCUGCAGAAAAAGCCCCGGCUAACUUCGUGCCAGCCGCCGCAGUAACAC